GUGGGGAAUUUUGGACAAUGGGGGCAACCCUGAUCCAGCCAUGCCGCGUGCGGGAAGAAGGCCUUCGGGUUGUAAACCGCUUUUGUCAGGGAAGAAAUCCUUUGGGUUAAUACCUCGGAGGGGUGACGGUACCUGAAGAAUAAGCACCGGCUAACUACGUGCCAGCAGCCGCGGUAAUACGUAGGGUGCGAGCGUUAAUCGGAAUUACUGGGCGGAAAGCGUGCGCAGGCGGUUUUGUAAGAUCGAUGUGAAAACCCGGGGCUCAACCUGGGAACUGCAUUGGUGACUGCAAGGCUGGAGUGCGGCAGAGGGAGGUGGAAUUCCGCGUGUAGCAGUGAAAUGCGUAGAGAUGCGGAGGAACACCGAUGGCGAAGGCAGCCUCCUGGGAUAACACUGACGCUCAGGCACGAAAGCGUGGGGAGCAAACAGGAUUAGAAACCCGGGUAGUCC
rnacentral:rRNA from 1 species